UCCUCAGUAGCUCAAUGGCAGAGCGGAUGGCUGUUAACCAUUAGGUUGGGGGUUCAAGUCCCUCCUGAGGAGCCA
rnacentral:tRNA from 1 species